rnacentral:lncRNA from 1 species
CCCGCAUCCCGAAUAUGUAUAUAUGGAACCAUGUCAAACUCAAUUACAUAUUCAUAUCAAUUAUCCAUCAAUCAACGAUGACUCUAAUGAUAAAAUAUUAUAAAUUCUUUCUAAUUUUUAUCCUACUUUGAUCAAAAAUUUCCUAAAUCAUUUAGAGAUGAUAAUAUAUAGGAUGACAUCUCCUCUUACAAGGAGUGAUCGAUUCCUUGUUGAUGUACUCAUAACCUCCAUGCACACUUCACCAUAUCCAAAAUAUUCUAUACGUAACUUAGUCAUGAAUG